GACGAACGCUGGCGGCGUGCUUAACACAUGCAAGUCGAACGGAAAGGCCCUGCUUUUGUGGGGUGCUCGAGUGGCGAACGGGUGAGUAACACGUGAGUAACCUGCCCUUGACUUUGGGAUAACUUCAGGAAACUGGGGCUAAUACCGGAUAGGAGCUCCUGCUGCAUGGUGGGGGUUGGAAAGUUUCGGCGGUUGGGGAUGGACUCGCGGCUUAUCGGCUUGUUGGUGGGGUAGUGGCUUACCAAGGCUUUGACGGGUAGCCGGCCUGAGAGGGUGACCGGCCACAUUGGGACUGAGAUACGGCCCAGACUCCUACGGGAGGCAGCAGUGGGGAAUAUUGCACAAUGGGCGGAAGCCUGAUGCAGCAACGCCGCGUGCGGGAUGACGGCCUUCGGGUUGUAAACCGCUUUCGCCUGUGACGAAGCGUGAGUGGCGGUAAUGGGUAAAGAAGCACCGGCUAACUACGUG
rnacentral:rRNA from 1 species